AGAGCGUAUGGUGGAUGCCUUGGCACUAAGAGCCGAUGAAAGACGUGAUAAGCUGCGAAAAGCUUCGGGGAGGAGCAAAUAUCCUGAGAUCCGGAGAUAUCUGAAUGGGGAAACCUACUUGAGAAGACCUCAAGUAUCCACAGCCCAAUCCAUAAGCUGUGGAAGGGAACCCGGUGAACUGAAACAUCUAAGUAGCCGGAGGAAGAGAAAACAACAUGUGAUUCCGUAAGUAGCGGCGAGCGAACGCGGAAGAGCCCAAACCGGAGUGCGUGCACUCCGGGGUUCGGACUGCAGGAUUGACGAGUGAGCCUAGUAGAAUGGUUUUGGGAAAGCCAGCCAGAGAGGGUGAAAGCCCCGUACACGAAAGGCAAGCGAGCAUGGCAGGAUCCAGAGUACCACGAGACACGUGAAACCUUGUGGGAAUGAGCGGGGACCACCCCGUAAGGCUAAAUACUCCUUAGUGACCGAUAGCGCAUAGUACUGUGAAGGAAAGGUGAAAAGGACCCCGGGAGGGGAGUGAAAGAGAACCUGAAACCAUAUGUUUACAAGCUGUGGAACAUCUUUAUAUGAUGAACCGCGUACUUUUUGUAGAACGGUCCGGCGAGUUACGCUGGCUGGCGAGGUUAAGGGCUGAAGGCCUGGAGCCGAAGGGAAACCGAGUCUGAACAGGGCGAAAUAGUCAGUCGGAGUAGACCCGAAACCGGGUGAUCUAUCCAUGUCCAGGUUGAAGUUGCCGUAAAAGGCAAUGGAGGACCGAACCCACAUCCGUUGAAAAGGGUGGGGAUGAGGUGUGGAUAGGGGAGAAAUUCCAAUCGAACCCGGAGAUAGCUGGUUCUCCUCGAAAUAGCUUUAGGGCUAGCCUCAUGCAAGUCUUACGGAGGUAGAGCACUGAAUUCCUAAGGGGGCGUCAAAGCUUACCAAGGGAUAUCAAACUCCGAAUGCCGUGUAGAUGGUGCAUGGGAGUCAGACUAUCCGAGAUAAGUUGGGUAGUCAAAAGGGAAAGAGCCCAGACCUACAGCUAAGGUCCCAAAAUGUGUGUUAAGUGGAAAAGGAUGUGGGAUUUCGAAGACAACUAGGAUGUUGGCUUAGAAGCAGCCAUCCAUUAAAAGAGUGCGUAAUAGCUCACUAGUCGAGAGGUCCUGCGCCGAAAAUGUCCGGGGCUGAAACACACUACCGAAGCUUGGGAAUUGACGAAUGUUAAUUGGUAGAGGAGCAUUCUUAACGGGGCGAAGCUGUACCGGAAGGAGCAGUGGACUGUUAAGAAGAGAGAAUGCCGGAAUGAGUAGCGAGAGGAAGGUGAGAAUCCUUCCGGCCGAAUAUCUAAGGUUUCCAGAGUAAAGCUGAUCUGCUCUGGGUAAGUCGGGGCCUAAGGCGAGGUCGAAAGACGUAGUCGAUGGAUAACAGGUAAAGAUUCCUGUACUGUAUCAUAACAGAACUGUGGGGACGCAGACAGAGAGCAUAAGCCGGGAAUGGAAAGACCGGUACAAGCGAGGUAGGAGUGCAUCAGGCAAAUCCGGUGCACAAUCUGAAGACGUGAUGUGGGGCGUAAAGCCGGAAGUAUGUGAGCUGGCUGCCAAGAAAAGCCGCUAUUGUUUAUGAUAUACCCGUACCGUAAACCGACACAGGUGGAUGAGGAGAGAAUCCUAAGGCCGACGGGAGAAGCAUUGUUAAGGAACUCGGCAAAAUGACUCCGUAACUUCGGGAGAAGGAGUGCCAUGUAAAAGUGGCCGCAGAGAAUUGGCCCAAGCAACUGUUUAGCAAAAACACAGGUCUAUGCAAAACCGAAAGGUGAGGUAUAUGGGCUGACGCCUGCCCGGUGCUGGAAGGUUAAGGGGAGAGGUUAGCCGUAAGGCGAAGCUUUGAACUUAAGCCCCAGUAAACGGCGGCCGUAACUAUAACGGUCCUAAGGUAGCGAAAUUCCUUGUCGGGUAAGUUCCGACCCGCACGAAAGGCGUAAUGAUUUGGGCACUGUCUCAACAAUGCACCCGGUGAAAUUGAAAUACCAGUGAAGAUGCUGGUUACCUGCGCCAGGACGGAAAGACCCCAUGGAGCUUUACUCCAGCUUGAUACUGGGAUUCGAUAUUGCAUGUACAGGAUAGGUGGGAGACUGAGAACUGAUGACGCCAGUUGUCAGGGAGUCACUGUUGGGAUACCACCCUUGUAGUAUUGGAUUUCUAACCAGCAGCCGUGAACCGGCUGGGGGACAAUGUCAGGUGGGGAGUUUGACUGGGGCGGUCGCCUCCGAAAGGGUAUCGGAGGCGCUCAAAGGU
rnacentral:rRNA from 1 species